rnacentral:rRNA from 1 species
UACGUAGGGGGCUAGCGUUGUCCGGAAUCAUUGGGCGUAAAGCGCGUGUAGGCGGCCCGGUAAGUCCGCUGUGAAAGUCGGGGGCUCAACCCUCGGAUGCCGGUGGAUACUGUCGGGCUCGAGUACGGAAGAGGCGAGUGGAAUUCCUGGUGUAGCGGUGAAAUGCGCAGAUAUCAGGAGAAACACCAAUUGCGAAGGCAGCUCGCUGGGACGUUACUGACGCUGAGACGCGAAAGCGUGGGGAGCAAACAGG